UUUCUCUGACAGAUACAGAAAUAUAGAGCAUCAAACAACUAAUAUAUUUCUGCCACAAAUAGUGAAAGAUUAAGAAUUCUUGUUCACCAAAAAACAAAAACUCGAAGUUAUGCCUUGAAAGACAACAGGGUUUAAAAUGAACAGUAGUAUAUCACACUCUUCCAUCAUAGCAUCAUUACAGGCCACGUGGUAGAAUGUCAACCUCUAAUGAUAUAAGCUCAAAAAUGUCUUAUUCAAAUAAACAAAGUGUAGAAUGGUCAUUAUCGCUUUCUUCUUGCGCCAAAACUUCAACCCUAAGGUCUAUGAGAUUAUCUAGUUGUCCACAACUUCGAUCAAGGUUGGCUCGUAAUCGCUAGGCGCCUCGUAUCCGUGCAGAUUCAUAAAGGUUGAAGCAACAUUUGCAAGUCCACCGGUGGGGAGAUCUGUGCGGAAUCUCACACCAGGUACAAGUCCAGGACCACCAAUUGCAAUAGGAACAGGUUCGAGAGUGUGAGAAGUGAGAAUCUGAAUGUUUCCAUUUUUGUCAAGUAAUGGCUCUCCCUUCUUGUUUCUCUUAACCAUAUCUUCAGCAUUUCCAUGGUCAGCAGUAACAAGGAAAAUUCCACCCACUUGCUCAAUAGCAUCAAGGAUCAUCUUGACACCAUCAUCGGCAGCCUUGCAAGCUUCAAUUGUUGCUUUGAUGUCACCAGUAUGGCCCACCAUAUCACUGUUAGGUAAGUUCACACGUACCUGAUCAAAUUUGUGGCUAAGGAUGGCCUCCCUAGCCCUUUCAGCAAUCUCCAGUGCCUUCAUUUUUGGCUUAACAUUAAAUGUAAUCCCACUGUCACUUGGAAUUUCCACAUACUCUUCCAAUUUCUCGUCAAAAUACCCAGAACGGUUUCCAUUCCAAAAGAAGGUGACAUGACCAAAUUUAACGGUCUCGCUGCAAGCAAAAGUCCGAAUACCAUUGCGCACUAGAUACUCCCCAGAUGUCCUGUCAAUCUCUGGAGGAGAAACAAGGUAUUUGCUUGGAAGCUUCAAUUCACCGUCAUAUUGGAGCAUACCAGCAUAAUGGAUUUUAGGGACUCGUACACGAUCAAAUUUAUCGAAAUUCUCAUAUUCAAGGGCCUUUGCAAGCAUGACCAUACGAUCUGCUCUGAAGUUGAAAGUCACGACAGCAUCACCAUCCAAAAUAGGACCAACAGGCUUUCCAUUAUCAUCAACAACAACAAAAGGGGCUAAGUAUUGAUCAUUGGCAUUGGGUUCCUGCCUCAACUUCUUAAUUGCCUCAACGGGAUCCUUGAAAUGGUGUGGAGCCUCACCAAGAACUUGUGCAUCCCAACCUCUUUUUACGACAUCCCAGUCAUUCUCAUAACGAUCCAUGGUAACAUACAUGCGACCUCCACCAGAUGCAACCCGGGCAUCAACACCUUGUCCACGUAAUUUUGCUAGAUCAUUCUCGAGGGUCUCCAUGAAGCCCACACUAGAACCAUCCAGAACAUCACGUCCAUCGGUGAGGGCAUGGACACGAAUUCUUUUGGCACCACGCUCAGCAGCACCUUUCAGUAGCAACAGCAGUUGGUCAAGCCUGGAGUGGACACCCCCAUCACUCACGAGACCAAUAAGGUGCAGAGUUCCUUUCUCAAAACAUUCUUGAACGUAUUUGAAACCUUCUCCAUCAUAGAUUUUCCCAGAGGCAAGGGCUAGGUCAACAAGCUUUGCACCUUGAG
rnacentral:misc_RNA from 1 species